rnacentral:sRNA from 1 species
CUCCCCCGGACCUUGUAAAAUUUCUAAUCAAGAGACUCAGUGAGUCAGUCAGCCCACCACGUGACUCCUGCAGAAGAUUCAGCCCAUUGAAGCGAGUGGGAGCUGAGCGGGCCACCACUCAGCCCUACUUCUUCACACCCAGCACCUACCCUGGGGUUACACUACAAGCAGUUUCUGCGAACUCCCUCUGAGGUCGGAAAGAUACACAGCCCUCCCUCCUGGGUACCGCUUAUUCCCUUCCCCACUUCCUUAUUAAUGACAGGCACAUCCCUGGAGCCACCAGCUCAGCUCCGCCUCCCUUCCAGCGCAGCCUCUGAUUGGACCUCUGUCUGGCUCCUCCCACUUCUUCCCCAGACCAGCCUCUGGCAUUAGCUUGCCCUCACCCUCCUUGAAGGUCGGGUGCUCCACUACUGGAGGUAGAAGGGUGGAAUUGCGCUUGUUUUGCCCUACUUCAAAUACUUUUUGGGGGGCUGCGUGAGACUAUGAAGAAAUACUGGGGGAGUAGGCCAUGGGCCUUUCUAGCUUGAGACCCGGGCCUGCAGCUCGGACCCUCUGAGAACCUCAUGAAAGCAUUCCAGGAUGUAAUAAACCCGUCAAGCCUCGGCUAAUUUAUAUGGAAGCAGAUGAUUUCCCAUUUUUUAGAAUGUAAAUGUUUACAUUGUAGCAUUCCCCUGCCCCCGGCAUCCGGGGCCCUGGCACGUCAGUGAUGGAAUCAGCCGCUUCUCCUCGGGGAUCCUUAGAUGGAAGCGUCACGAUGCCAAGAAGCGUCCCGCUUUCAGCCAGCCCGGGUGUGCAAACCCCGCACCAAGGAAGGCCACCAAGCGUUUGCUUAAUGUUACCAAGUUCCACGUGGCUCUUACAGAGGAGAAGUAGCACUUUUAAGGGUAAGCCUCAGAACAGAGGGUGCAAUUCUGACUAUGUAGCUUCCCAAGGUCUCUUUGCUACACUUCUCUCCUCUAAGACAGUCAAUUCCUUACGAGCUCUAAUGUAUUAGCUUUAUAUGGGAGUUUUGUGUUGUAGAAAUAGUGACUAGCAUAGAUGGGUGGGAAACCUUGACAACAAUCCAAGGAAAUUAUGCUUUAGCUCAUAGACCCCCUGAGUGCCCUACUACCCCUCUGUGUGCAGGUCUGCUUGAGGCUAAGAACCCUGCCCUUUAACACUCUGGGUGUCUGUGAACAAGUGCAACUCCUAGAAAAGGGUUCGCCACUUGGUCAUAAGCCCCAGAAACUACAAAGGUCUCCUUGGAUCCCUGUGAGAGCAAAGAGCCACUGCGAUUCGUGCCACUGGUCACCCAGGCACGCCUGGGGUUCUGGUGCCUGCUCCAUUAGACAAGCGCAUGUUCUGUUCAAUAGGAGCCAUAUAUGCUACCUGGACCUUUAGCUUCCUCACUGGCCAAGUGAGGAAGUAUGUCUGACCCUCCCCACCUCUAACAAAUAGUGAGGGAGAAGUAAAAGCCCUUCCCCCACCCAGGAGUGGGAAAAGAUACAGCACCUUGGAACCCUGGUCCUUCGGUUACUACCAUGCCGGACUGUGUGUCCUUGGGUAAGUGACUCACCUCUCUGUGCUCCGUGUUCUUUAAGAUGACGAGAUACUAAACUAUAGUAGCAAUCUCCUAGCUACUAAUAAUUGCCAGGUGCUGAGUUUUUCACUCCCUGGUCUACAGAGCAGUCAGUGAGGGUAUCUGAGACUGGACCAUCUGCCUGGCAAACAAUGCUUGCCGGCUGGCUGGUGGCAGACAGUGCUCAAGGACUGGAGAAGGCGGGUGUGACCCAGGGGCAUUCUUGCACUCAAGAGAUCCUGUGCCUCACCCCGCCCCCCAUCAGAUCAAUGGAUCAACUGUAACUGUGAUGUACCUGACCACCGUUCUCCAUACCUGCUCUCAGAAUCCAUGGCAAAAACAGGGGUCAGCCCCCUCUCCAGCUGAACUAGGUCACCUGAGGACACAGUUUCCAGGGAAAACAUCUGAGUGAGCCUCUCCAGUCCAUCUCAGCCUUGCUGGGGUCUAAAGCUCAUGGCAGCCCGAGACCCCAUAGCCACCAGUGCAGAAGACCAAGCCCACUGUCUCCAUCAACCUGAAGCCUGUCCAGAGCUCAGCAGGUAGCCCUCCUCCUGCUUCUAAGAACCAAGCGUCAUUCGGUCAGCUUAGAGCCAUUUCUCUUCCUCCAGGGAAAUGCAAUCGACUAAGGGCCCUUCCCUACUCCACCCCCAGGUCUCCCCAGCCUUGUAACCUGAGUGCCCCCCAAACACUUUCUGGCAGUUUCUGCUCCAGCCAGCUCUAGACCUGCUAGAGAUUCUCUUGUUUUUAUCCUAGUGACUGUGAGUGGCAUCUCUGGCCCCAGCCUUGGUGGGAUUUAAUGAGCUAGGCUACAUCACAGUGCCCACCGAAGCCACUGAAACCUCCCUUCUACCUAGGAUGACGCCACAUCCUGCCUUUUCCCAAGCAGCUCCUGGCCUUGCCUACCCAGGCUCUCCCUCCUCUCUGGUACAGCCUGCUCAAAGAAGGGCCAAGAAGUACAGCCUUCACAGGGCUCUCAACGAACCCCUGGGUGGAAGGCAGAAUGGAAUCCUCUUUGGACCUGUGUCCACGUUAUGGGUCAUAAAGGCCUUUAUGUGCCUAUAAAGCAGAAUUCCUGCAAAGCCUUUCCAUUCCAACAUGCUACCUGCAGUAAACUGCCGCUGUACACACACAGCCCUCAUGACCGACAGGGUCUACACACGUGCACGCCACCAGUGUCACCUGCAUCCACCUGGCUAGGAAGGGCUGCCAGGGGGCAGGGGAGUCUUAGUCCCAGCCCUGGCACCUGAUCUGGGUCUGUUGCCCCAUCUCAGUGAGUAAGAUUUCCUGCCUGGAGCCCCACCAUAACCACAGCUCAGACAUCAAACUAGCGUAAAACUCACUUUCCACUUUAUCUAUCCAUUCAGUGUCGGGUCAUUCGCUGAAGCACAGGGUGAGUCUCCUGACCCUAACUUCCCAUCGACAGCAGUCUGGAAGCCCAAAUCCUACUCAAUGACCAGCACACAGUAGGUACUUAAGAUCAGCAGAGAAGUAACAAGGAAUCCGCUAGUUCAGCCUCCAAAGCAGAGCCUCCAUGUGUAGGGGCAGAAGAAAGGGACCUCAUUUUUUGUCCUUUGUGCAAAUUAACAAUGAUGGCUCUACAGGGCAAGAGACAUUGCUUAUGACAACUGAGGCUCAACUUCAAGCUCACCCCCCACAAGAGAGCACCUGGACGCCUCUCCGAAGAGCAACAAAUACACUUUGGAGAGUGCCGGGGAUUGCCAGGAGCGCCAACUACAUUUCCAGCCUGACACCCAGCUGCAACAAAGCAGAUUCCUUUCUUCCCUUCUCUCGAAAAGCCUAAUCCAGAUAAGCCGGACCGACAAUGGCUGCCUGGCCACGAAAGACUUCCCUUUCCCGGGUGAUGGGACUCACACCUGGUGACAUCAGCCUGGCACAGUUCUAAGUGUAGGGGUGGCCAAACACCAGCUCCCAAUGCUUCCGCACCCAAAGCCCCAGCUUCAGCCAAGAGCGACUGCCCUUCCCCUUCCCCCCACAUUGCCAGUCUAGGACUAACCUACCCAGCAACAUCAGGACAGCAGGACAAUUCCGAAGGGUAGGUACUAGGUGACGUGGUCAUAUCUUUAGCUACUGGGAAGCCAAAAAAACACUGGCAGGGCUGGCCUUCUGCUAAUGUGGCUGGAUUGUUCCCCAGAGUUUCCCAGAGGAGUGGGUCCUGGGUCUGUUGAUCUAGAACAUUCUUUUCUGUGGUCUGACUCCUGCCAAAUUCUCCCAGGAUGUGACCCCUGCCAUCAGAUGACUGAGAACAGAUGGCAAACCCUGUGACUCUCCUAAGACCCUAACCUCACGUGGACAGGCUGAACUACUUGUCGCCAUCUUGAGAUCACUGCCCAGAGACCCUCUUUUCAUGUCUUCCUCCAGGGAGCUGGCUCUAGUCUGUGUUUGGAGAAAGAGGGGGACAGGCAGCCUGUCAGGAAUACCUUUCCACACAGGUGAAUCUUUCCACACGGUCGCACCAGGAUUCGGGUGACCUCAAAUGCAAACCUUAAAUGGCUCCCAUACCUCAAUAGCCUUCAUCUCUGCGUGUCUGACAUAGGCAGCGUACUUCAGAAACUAUGGCUCCAAAGGCAAGCUAAGAGGGACAGAGAUCCCAGGUGGGCAGGGACGGGAGCCGGUGUCAGUCGUCAAGAGCACCAUUCUGCCAUCAGACCCACAGCUUCCACCCCGCCACCACCAACUGCUGUACUGACCGCUGUUGCUGCAAAAGCACCACAAGUCCCUGGGACCCAAGGUACUGACCCUGAAGUGACGCCUGAGUGACAGUAGCUCCUUGUCCAAGCCCCUUGACUGCUACGUUAAGGUAUGUGGUCAGUGGAGGAAAGAAGAAAGAUGCUUCCCCAGGGCAGGGGAGUAAAUAGCCAAAGGCCAUGUUGUCCAUGAGGUACAGUCUGCCCGAGCCAGCAGACUUGAAUGGAGAUUGAAUUUGGAGAACACGGCAGGAAGCAGGGGUCUGUGACUAUCGGGGUGAUUGCCGCUGUACUUUGCUUUGUCUUUAGCCAUGGAAGCUUCUGGAUAGAAAAACCAAACCCAGAAUUGUCACCGAGAGACAGAGUUAGCUGAGGCAACUGUAACAGUAAAGACAGAAGCGUUGGAAGAGUAUAGAGUGGUCAGGCAGAAGGCUCGAGGGGCAGGCCAAAGCUGCCCAUGGUUGAGGGAUGAGAUGGAGGGGAAGGGAGUGGUCUGGAGAGAAGAGACGGACCUUAACGAGGCUCGCGGCGGCAGGGGAGCAGGUCCAAGCACCAGACUGGGAUGCCCGGGAGAUUCCUAUCUCAGAGCACUUCAGCCUAGGAAGCUAUGGACCACAAGGAUGUCUAGAGCUCCCUACUCAGCAUGGAGUAUGUUUCACAGCAGAUAUUCUUCUACAGGUGCCAAGGUCAGGAGAAGACUGAGAGACACUGUGACAUGUCUCUUCCUCCUCCAAAUGCCUACCAGACCAAGCAUGGACAAGUGCACACCACACACACCUACC